CAGUUGGGAGUGAGACUGCCGGCGACAAGGUUUGUAGUCGAGAGGGAAACAGCCCAGACCGUCGGCUAAGGUCCCGAAUAGUAUGCUAAGUGUGAAAUGAUGUGCGAUGGCGAAGACAGCCAGGAGGUUGGCUUAGAAGCAGCCAUUCCUUAAAAGAGUGCGUAAUAGCUCACUGGUCGAGUCAUGGUGCGCAAACAAUGUAACGGGGCUAAGCAUACAACCGAAGCUGCGGUUCAGUACGUAAGUUAUGGACGGUAGGGGAGCAUUCCACGGACCGAAGAAGGUACACUGGAAGGUGUGCUGGAGGGGGUGGAAGAGAGAAUGCAGGUAUAAGUACACGAAAAGAGGGGUGAGAUCCCCCUCCGCCGAAAGCCUAAGGAUUCCUGGGUAAAGGUCAUCUGCCCAGGGUAAGUCGGCCCCUAAGGCGAGGACGAAAGUCGUAGUCGAUGGGAAACGGGUUAUUAUUCCCGUACCUUGUACAGUUUUGAAGGGAUGACCCAGGAGGUGAAACCCGGCCGGGCAACGGUUGUCCCGGUCGAACCCGCAGUUAAUUGUGGGGUAGGCAAAUCCGCACUGCAAGAUGAGUGGUGACAGCGAGUGCAGCUACGGCCAAACCGAAGCGGGCGUAGUCACGGUGCCCAAAAAUAAUCUCUAAAGUUAGGCUGUACCAACACCGUACCGUAAACCGACACAGGUGGGCGGGAUGAGCAAUCUAAGGCGCUCGAGAGAAUUCACGUUAAGGAACUCGGCAAAAUACGCACGUAAUUUGGGGAGAAGUGCGGCCCUCUUUGGUUUAACCAUUAGGUUAAGGGGGGCGACACAAAGCAGUCCCAGGCGACUGUUUAUCAAAAACACAGGC
rnacentral:rRNA from 1 species